AUACGUAGGUGGCAAGCGUUAUCCGGAUUUACUGGGUGUAAAGGGCGAGUAGGCGGGAUCAUAAGUCAGGUGUGAAAUCUGGGGGCUCAACCCCCAAACUGCAUUUGAAACUAUGAUUCUUGAGUGAUGGAGAGGCAGGCGGAAUUCCCGGUGUAGCGGUGGAAUGCGUAGAGAUCGGGAGGAACACCAGUGGCGAAGGCGGCUUCCUGGUCUGUAACUGACACUGAGGCGCGAAAGCGUGGGGAGC
rnacentral:rRNA from 1 species